rnacentral:rRNA from 1 species
GACGAACGCUGGCGGCGUGCUUAACACAUGCAAGUCGAACGGAAAGGCCCUGCUUUUGUGGGGUUCUCGAGUGGCGAACGGGUGAGUAACACGUGAGUAACCUGCCCUUGACUUUGGGAUAACUUCAGGAAACUGGGGCUAAUAUCGUAUAGGAGCUCCUGCUGCAUGGUGGGGGUUGGAAAUUUUCGGCGUUUGGGGAUGGACUCGCGGCUUAUCAGCUUGUUGGUGGGGUAGUGGCUUACCAAGGCUUUGACGGGUAGCCGGCCGGAGAGGGUGAACGGCCCCAAUGGGACUGAGAUACGGCCCAGACUCCUACAGGAGGCAGCAGUGGGGAAUAUUGCACAAUGGGAGGAAGCCUGAUGCAGAAACGCCGCGUUCGGGAUGCCGGCCUUCGGGUUGUAAACCGCUUUCGCCUGUGACGAAGCGUGAGUGACGGUAAUGGGUAAAGAAGCACCGGCUAACUACGUG